rnacentral:rRNA from 1 species
CCUACGUGCGGCAGCAGUGAGGAAUAUUGGUCAAUGGGCGCGAGCCUGAACCAGCCAAGUAGCGUGAAGGAUGACUGCCCUACGGGUUGUAAACUUCUUUUAUAAAGGAAUAAAGUGAGGCACGUGUGCCUUUUUGUAUGUACUUUAUGAAUAAGGAUCGGCUAACUCCGUGCCAGCAGCCGCGGUAAUACGGAGGAUCCGAGCGUUAUCCGGAUUUAUUGGGUUUAAAGGGAGCGUAGAUGGGUUGUUAAGUCAGUUGUGAAAGUUUGCGGCUCAACCGGAAAAUUGCAAUUGAUACUGGCAGUCUUGAGUACAGGUGAGGUAGGCGGAAUUCGUGGUGUAGCGGUGAAAUGCUUAGAUAUCACGAAGAACUCCGAUUGCGAAGGCAGCUUACUAAUCUGCCACUGACAUUGAUGCUCGAAAGUGUGGGUAUCAAACAGGAUUAGAUACCCUUGUAGUC